GAACGCUGGCGGCGUGGAUAAGACAUGCAAGUCGAACGGGAGAAUUGCUAGCUUGCUAAUAAUUCUCUAGUGGCGCACGGGUGAGUAACACGUGAGUAACCUGCCUCUUAGUGGGGGAUAGCCCUGGGAAACCGGGAUUAAUACCGCAUACGAUUGAAAGAUCAAAGCAGCAAUGCGCUAGGAGAUGGGCUCGCGGCCUAUUAGUUAGUUGGUGAGGUAACGGCUCACCAAGGCGAUGACGGGUAGCCGGUCUGAGAGGAUGUCCGGCCACACUGGAACUGAGACACGGUCCAGACACCUACGGGUGGCAGCAGUCGAGAAUCAUUCACAAUGGGGGCAACCCUGAUGGUGCGACGCCGCGUGGGGGAAUGAAGGUCUUCGGAUUGUAAACCCCUGUCAUGUGGGAGCAAAUUAAAAAGAUAGUACCACAAGAGGAAGAGACGGCUAACUCUGUGCCAGCAGCCGCGGUAAUACAGAGGUCUCAAGCGUUGUUCGGAAUCACUGGGCGUAAAGCGUGCGUAGGCUGUUUCGUAAGUCGUGUGUGAAAGGCAGGGGCUCAACCCCUGGAUUGCACAUGAUACUGCGAGACUAGAGUAAUGGAGGGGGAACCGGAAUUCUCGGUGUAGCAGUGAAAUGCGUAGAUAUCGAGAGGAACACUCGUGGCGAAGGCGGGUUCCUGGACAUUAACUGACGCUGAGGCACGAAGGCCAGGGGAGCGAAAGGGAUUAGAUACCCCUGUAGUCCUGGCAGUAAACGGUGCACGCUUGGUGUGCGGGGAAUCGACCCCCUGCGUGCCGGAGCUAACGCGUUAAGCGUGCCGCCUGGGGAGUACGGUCGCAAGAUUAAAACUCAAAGAAAUUGACGGGGACCCGCACAAGCGGUGGAGUAUGUGGCUUAAUUCGAUGCAACGCGAAGAACCUUACCUGGGCUUGACAUGUAAUGAACAACAUGUGAAAGCAUGCGACUCUUCGGAGGCGUUACACAGGUGCUGCAUGGCCGUCGUCAGCUCGUGUCGUGAGAUGUUUGGUUAAGUCCAGCAACGAGCGCAACCCCUGUUGCCAGUUACCAGCACGUCAAGGUGGGGACUCUGGCGAGACUGCCCAGAUCAACUGGGAGGAAGGUGGGGACGACGUCAGGUCAGUAUGGCCCUUAUGCCCAGGGCUGCACACGUACUACAAUGCCCAGUACAGAGGGGGCCGAAGCCGCGAGGCGGAGGAAAUCCUGAAAACUGGGCCCAGUUCGGACUGUAGGCUGCAACCCGCCUACACGAAGCCGGAAACGCUAGUAAUGGCGCAUCAGCUACGGCGCCGUGAAUACGUUCCCGGGUCUUGUACACACCGCCCGUCACAUCAUGGAAGCCGGUCGCACCCGAAGUAUCUGAAGCCAACCGCAAGGAGGCAGGGUCCUAAGGUGAGACUGGUAACUGGG
rnacentral:rRNA from 1 species